CGCGUCGUUGCCCUGGGCGCAGCCUGAUGCAGCCAUGCCGCGUGUGUGAAGAAGGCCUUCGGGUUGUAAGCACUUUCAGCGGGGAGGAAGGUGUUGGGGUUAAUACCCUGAGGGGUUGACGUUACCCGCAGAAUAAGCACCGGCUAACUCCGUGCCAGCAGCCGCGGUAAU
rnacentral:rRNA from 1 species